UGGGGAAUAUUGCACAAUGGAGGAAACUCUGAUGCAGCAACGCCGCGUGGAGGAUGACACAUUUCGGUGCGUAAACUCCUUUUAUAUGGGAAGAUAAUGACGGUACCAUAUGAAUAAGCACCGGCUAACUCCGUGCCAGCAGCCGCGGUAAUACGGAGGGUGCAAGCGUUACUCGGAAUCACUGGGCGUAAAGCGCAUGCAGGCGGUUUAAUAAGUUAGAAGUGAAAUCCUAUGGCUCAACCAUAGAACUGCUUCUAAAACUGUUAGACUAGAGUCUGGGAGGGGAAGAUGGAAUUAGUAGUGUAGGGGUAAAAUCCGUAGAGAUUACUAGGAAUACCAAAAGCGAAGGCGAUCUUCUGGAACAGUACUGACGCUGAGAUGCGAAAGCGUGGGGAGCAAACA
rnacentral:rRNA from 1 species